rnacentral:rRNA from 1 species
CCUUCGGGAGCUUGCACAGUGCUGCAUGGCUGUCGUCAGCUCGUGUCGUGAGAUGUCGGUUAAGUCCGCUAACGAGCGCAACCCUCGCUGUGUGUUAUAUGUGUCACACGGGACUGCCGGUCUUAAGCCGGAGGAAGGUGGGGAUGAUGUCAAGUCAGCAUGGCCUUUAUAUCCUAGGCUACACACACGCUACAAUGGCCAACACAAUAGGUUGCUAAGCCGCGAGGUGGCGCCAAUCCAUAAAGUUGGUCUCAGUUCAGAUUGUAGGCUGCAACCCGCCUGCAUGAAGAUGGAGUUGCUAGUAACCGCAGGUCAGCUAUACUGCGGUGAAUACGUUCCCGGGGCUU